rnacentral:rRNA from 1 species
UACGUAGGGACCAAGCGUUGUUCGGAUUUACUGGGCGUAAAGGGCGCGUAGGCGGCGCGGUAAGUCACUUGUGAAAUCUCUGAGCUUAACUCAGAACGGCCAAGUGAUACUGCAGUGCUAGAGUGUGGAAGGGGCAAUCGGAAUUCUUGGUGUAGCGGUGAAAUGCGUAGAUAUCAAGAGGAAGACCAGUGGCGAAGGCGGGUCUCUGGACAGUUCCUGACGCUGAGGCACGAAAGCGUGGGGAGCAAACAGG